UUAAAUAAAUAAAAACAAGCUAAAAUUACAAAUCACGAUAAAUAUUAAGCAGUAUAAAUUAAUUAAGUUUAACGUGGCCAAAGGACUGAAUAAAUAGGGUUUCCAAAUCAUUUUAGCAUAGUAAUGGGUAGGGUGUUACAGGAUCCAUCCUUUAACAUAAACUUGAAAGUUCUUCUUAACUUUAUUGGAAAAUGAUCUUGUCUUUACUCCACAUGACAUUGUGGUACUCUAUCCAUAUAACCAUCUACACCUUGAAGUUGAUUGAUCCUAGGUUUCUCACUAUGUGGACUUUGUUCAACUUGAAUUUAGUUUUGAUUUCCACU
rnacentral:lncRNA from 1 species